rnacentral:sRNA from 1 species
UCGUUUGUCGCGAUGUGGGGUGGCCGUAAGCUGGGCUCCUCCGGGGGUUGGUUUUUAAGAGUGCUGGGGCCUGGAGGCCGGAAUACAAAAGCUGCGCGUCCCCUAAUUUCCUCGGCGGUUUAUGUGAAGAACCAGCUCAGUUGGACUCUACAGAUUAAAUCAGGGGUUUUCAAUGAAUACAGAACCAUAUGGUUCAAAUCCUACAGGACGAUCUUUUCCUGUUUGAACAGAAUAAAGAGUUUCAGGUGGAGUUUCACUUCUGUUGCCCAGGCUGGAGUACAAUGGUGCAAUCUUGGCUCACUGCAACCUCCUCCUCCCGGGUUCAAGCGAUUCUCCUGCCUGAGCCUCCUGAGUCAUUGGGAUUACAGGUACCCUUGGGCGAGACUGUACAGUACUUCCCAAACCACUGUCGACAGCAGUGAGGUAAAAACCUUCUUGUCCCUGGCUCACAAAUGGUGGGAUGAGCAAGGAGUAUAUGCACCUCUUCAUUCCAUGAAUGACCUGAGGGUGCCAUUUAUUAGGGACAAUCUUCUGAAAACAAUUCCUGAUCACCAGCCAGGAAAACCUUUGUUGGGGAUGAAGAUUCUUGACGUUGGCUGUGGUGGUGGGCUGUUAACUGAACCUCUAGGGCGGCUUGGGGCUUCAGUUAUUGGAAUCGAUCCUGUGGAUGAGAACAUUAAAACAGC